rnacentral:rRNA from 1 species
UACGAAGGGGGCUAGCGUUGCUCGGAAUUACUGGGCGUAAAGCGCACGUAGGCGGCUUUGUAAGUUAGAGGUGAAAGCCCGGGGCUCAACCCCGGAAUUGCCUUUAAGACUGCAUCGCUUGAAUCAUGGAGAGGUGAGUGGAAUUCCGAGUGUAGAGGUGAAAUUCGUAGAUAUUCGGAAGAACACCAGUGGCGAAGGCGACUCACUGGACAUGUAUUGACGCUGAGGUGCGAAAGCGUGGGGAGCAAACAGG